rnacentral:lncRNA from 1 species
CCUUUUACACCAAACAAUCUGAAAUUAGACUCCUUGCUAAUGCUGUACAGUAAAUUCCUGUAAAUAAACUAAAUCACACAGAAAACCUUUCAGAAU